GGGCGGAUAGCUCAGUUGGGAGAGCGCCAGCUUUACACGCUGGAUGUCGUGGGUUCGAGCCCCUCUCCGCCUACCA
rnacentral:tRNA from 2 species